UACGGGGGGGGCAAGCGUUGUUCGGAAUUACUGGGCGUAAAGGGCUCGUAGGCGGCCAACUAAGUCAUACGUGAAAUCCCUCGGCUUAACCGGGGAACUGCGUCUGAUACUGGAUGGCUUGAGUUCGGGAGAGGGAUGCGGAAUUCCAGGUGUAGCGGUGAAAUGCGCAGAUAUCAGGAGGAACACCUAUUGCGAAGGCAGCUCGCUGGGACGUAACUGACGCUGAGACGCGAAAGCGUGGGGAGCAAACAGG
rnacentral:rRNA from 1 species